rnacentral:tRNA from 2 species
GCACUGGUGGUUUAGUGGUAAAAUUGGACAUUGCCAAGUUGAUUACUCGACGUUGUCUAGCCCCGGGUUCGAUUCCCGGCCAGUGCA